CUACGUGCCAGCAGCCGCGGUAAUACGGAAGGUCCAGGCGUUAUCCGGAUUUAUUGGGUUUAAAGGGAGCGUAGGCGGAUUGUUAAGUCAGCGGUUAAAGGGUGUGGCUCAACCAUGCAUUGCCGUUGAAACUGGCGAUCUUGAGUGCAGACAGGGAUGCCGGAAUUCGUGGUGUAGCGGUGAAAUGCUUAGAUAUCACGAAGAACUCCGAUCGCGAAGGCAGGUGUCCGGGCUGCAACUGACGCUGAGGCUCGAAAGUGUGGGUAUCAAACAGGAUUAGAUACCCUGGUAGUCCACACAGUAAACGAUGUAUACUCGCGGUUUGCGAUAGAUUGUAAGCCGCCAGGCGAAAGCAUUAAGUAUACCACCUGGGGAGUACGCCGGCAACGGUGAAACUCAAAGGAAUUGACGGGGGCCCGCACAAGCGGAGGAACAUGUGGUUUAAUUCGAUGAUACGCGAGGAACCUUACCCGGGCUUGAAC
rnacentral:rRNA from 1 species